GGGUGAGGGGUCAGGAGAUUUGAAAACUCAAGAAUAAGGAUGAAUGGACAGUGCUCCAAGGGAGAUGGCAGUAAAUGUAAAUGCAAGUAGACAACCAAGAUCAUCAAGAGUGGGCACUGAAGCAGCCAACCCAUGUCUCCUGCUGCUGACACAAAUGAACCAAAAGGCAAGGCAACACAUGGCUUAACAGCUAGCAAUUAACUGAAGAGCUCAUCUGCUACACAUUUCCUAUGUUAUUUUUCUGGACACCCCACCCUGAAAAAGACUCAGGAAACAUUUCUAAGCAGUGACAACUUAAAACUGAAUCACAAGGUUCUAACUAUAUCUGCUGGAAUGCCUUACCAAAGGUAACUCUGAACACUGUAUACAUGAUUCACUCAAAAAACAAGAAAGGCAAAGGUCUUCUUUCCCUGUGAAGAUUAACAGGAAUACCUACAACAACAAUGCUUUUUUGAAGAAAAAAGCUAUGGGCAUGUUA